GGAAUGGUACAUCACUGCAGUGCUACACGUCCCCAUGGGUACCGUGAGGACACAAAGCGUGCUCCACACGGCUGCCUGGCUGUCCAGAGGUGAUCCUCUUGUUGUCUGGCGUGGACGAGAGGCUGCUGGAGGAGGCGGCCCAGAUAGCACAGCUCCUGCAGCCCACACAGCGCCCAUACCACCGCAUCACCUUCCCCGGCAGCAGCAUGAAGGCAGAUGUGUGGUGGCGCUGCCUUCACAAGCUGGCCAAUGCCGGCGUCACGGUGAUGCGUGGUUGUGAUGGUUUUGUUGGUGGUAUUAUAGCACCGCGCACCAGCCCCAUCACGGAGGAGGAGCAGAGGGUGCUGCACACCCUUGCCAGCACCACGAUGUUAGGUGCAUUCAACAGACUGCCUGAAGAGUACCUGUGGCAGUCACUGUAAUCCCCAUGACGGCCAGACUCAUCGGUGCUGGAAGUGCAUCCACUCACGAGGCAAACACCUGGGCUGCAUUUAUCCUACUGCAUUGUGUGUGUACAAGUCUACAGUGUGGU